AUCGUGUCCCCUAAGUCAUGAUUUUUUUGCCAAAUGAUUACUGCAUGCGUACCCCGCUGUUCGUCAAUCAUGAGGAUACCAGGGCUUAUAAUCGAGUGCUUAACCGAUAUUUUAAGGUGACCUGCUCUUCAACUAAUCAAAGGAGGCGCACAAUAGAGCGGCUCGGACUUAUGAGGAGUUGAUGAACGCAGCUAAUAGCCUUCAUCAUCAGGCCAAUCCAAGAGUAGUUCCCAAGGUAGCAGGGGUGCAUGCAGCGCACGAGAUUUCACCAUCUGGAUGAUAUGAUUUCAUUGUAAAAGCUCCCAUGACAUAGCUAUCCCUUCAGCUCUAUUGUAAGUCGGGUGGAAAAAUUCUCGUUGAAUACUGAGAAUGUUUUCUAGUACCUGUAGUGUCACAGAGUGGAAACAAAACACCGUUUGUGAUAAUUUGACGUUUACGUCGGUUUGAAACUUGCCUUUCUCUUUUUUUUAAAAAAAAUAUCUAAUUUACUAUCACCGUAAAAAAUAUUAUUUUAUGCAUAAACGCGCUUUUGACUUUUAAAGAAAGCACAAGUAUCGGCUAAUCAAUGAACUGCUGAAAUUUAUUUAUACUUAAAACACUAAUGAUCAUGAAUGACAUUCUGGUUGAGGUCUCAUGGAAGUGAAGUAUCAGUAAGAUGUUUCAAAAUGGCAACGUUUCCAAGAAGUUUAUCUCUUGUAAAUUUUUGUACGAUUUCUUUGCGACAUUUUACGUGAAAUAAUUCGAGCUGCCAAAUAAACCAAAGCUAGCAAAGAUGCACAUGUAAAAAAAAAGAAAUAAAAUAUUGAAUAUUUUGUAACAAGAAUGUCACCGAUUGAUUCCAAUGCGAGAUAUUAAGAUAUUCGAAUAUCUUUCGUAUAGUAAAAACCCGAAUCCUCGUAAGUAAAAUCGACUGUUUGAGAAUGAUUGCCAUUUCCACAAACUUCACUACUAUUCUUUCAAAAAUUUUGCUUACUCUCUUAAGAUAAAUAAGCACACUGGGAAAAACAUCAUUUUCAAACAAACAUAAGUAUAUAAUCACGGUACGCAUUUCGACUGUAGUAGAUUUUUAUUGUCAAUGAGCAGUGUGUUUUUAAUUGCGAUCACAAUAAAAGAAAAUAUGUUAUUCACGUUGGUGAUGAUUUAUAUUUAUUAACACUCUUAGAAAUCUUUAUGUGAAAUUCGUUGUACGUAUUCCACUCUGGAGCUCAUUUUGUUCCCAGAAACCCGAGUAAUAUUUAUUAAAAGAGAGUUUUCCUCCAUGAGAGCAGAGUUCAGCCGGAAAAAGAAGUUAGUGGAUGACGCGCCGCACUCUCAUCAUUCAAGUUUCUGGGGGCGAAAUAGGCUCCGGAUUUAAAUGCAAUGGGAUUUCUAACCGAAAUUUUUGAAAUCGCAUCCAAAGAAUCAUGUCCUACACAAAAUGUGAAUAAAGAAUCGUGCAAGAAAACUUUGAGACCUUUUCCUGUGCUGGCUCCAUUGCACCCGAAUCGCUAAAAAGUUGGGCGUGAUCCAUUCCAGUCGCGGACUUGCAACAAAAAGUGUCUCAAGUAAAAACUCAUUUAGAGACAUAGGGUAAAGGGGGAGGGGUUUUAGGAAGAGAGUUUGGAGGAAACUUACUGCAAGUAACAACUGGACUUAUUUCUACUAAACGGAACCAUGUGCAUUAUGACGUGAGCCCUGUUACGCAUACAUUAUUAUGGGUCUCAGGGCUCGUGUCUCCAUGCACAUAGUUCCGUUUGAUAGAAAUAUACGUCCAACUGAUGGCUGCGAUUCUGCAAAGCGACGGGGACGACGACCGAGUACAGGGCGGAUAUCGGCUUUCGAUUAGGUCGAUUAACACACGUUUCCUGGUGCUGAUGGUGUGACCCAUUUCCAGACUUUAGUCCAUGCGGCCCUUUGUUGAUUAAUUAAAGGCCCGCCCUCGCCCCCUUCGGACGCACAGAGUUCGUACCAGUAUCUUAUGUCCGCCACGUUUCGCUCAAUUUACGCUGCCCUCUCACUCCUCCGUGCGACUGCCACGCACUGAUUUCCGCUAUGAUCAAUCCAAACAUCCGGAAAACUCACCCCCAAUUGGAUGAAGAUCCUUGUUGAGAGGUGAUGCCUCUUGAUUCUCAGGUCUUUGUUAAUUGGACGCAUUUCUGUCAAACAGAACUAUGUGCAUUGAGACAUGAGC
rnacentral:lncRNA from 1 species